rnacentral:tRNA from 1 species
GGCUUCGUGGCGCAAUGGUAGCGCAUCAGACUCCAGAUCAUGGAUAAAUCUGAGGGUUUCAGGUUCGACUCCUGACGGGGUCA